GGUCCGGGCGUUAUCCGGAUGUAUUGGGUUUAAAGGGAGCGUAGGCCGGAGAUUAAGCGUGUUGUGAAAUGUAGAUGCUCAACAUCUGCACUGCAGCGCGAACUGGUUUCCUUGAGUACGCACAAAGUGGGCGGAAUUCGUGGUGUAGCGGUGAAAUGCUUAGAUAUCACGAAGAACUCCGAUUGCGAAGGCAGCUUACCGUAGCAUUACUGACGCUGAUGCUCGAAGGUGCGGGUAUC
rnacentral:rRNA from 1 species